rnacentral:rRNA from 1 species
GUCGAACGGACUCAUAUUGAAACCUAGUGAUUUAUGAGUUAGUGGCGGCCGGGUGAGUAACGCGUGGAUAACCUGCCGUAUACCGGGGGAUAACACUUAGAAAUAGGUGCUAAUACCGCAUAAGCGCACGGCUCCGCAUGGGGCAGUGUGAAAAACUCCGGUGGUAUACGAUGGAUCCGCGUCUGAUUAGCUAGUUGGCGGGGUAACGGCCCACCAAGGCAGCGAUCAGUAGCCGGCCUGAGAGGGUGGACGGCCACAUUGGGACUGAGACACGGCCCAAACUCCUACGGGAGGCAGCAGUGGGGAAUAUUGCACAAUGGGGGAAACCCUGAUGCAGCGACGCCGCGUGAGUGAAGAAGUAUCUCGGUACGUAAAGCUCUAUCAGCAGGGAAGAAAAUGACGGUACCUGACUAAGAAGCCCCGGCUAACUACGUGCCAGCAGCCGCGGUAAUACGUAGGGGGCAAGCGUUAUCCGGAUUUACUGGGUGUAAAGGGAGCGUAGACGGCAGCACAAGUCUGGAGUGAAAUCCCGGGGCUUAACCCCGGAACUGCUUUGGAAACUGUGCGGCUGGAGUGCAGGAGGGGUAAGCGGAAUUCCUAGUGUAGCGGUGAAAUGCGUAGAUAUUAGGAGGAACACCGGUGGCGAAGGCGGCUUACUGGACUGUAACUGACGUUGAGGCUCGAAAGCGCGGGGAGCAAACAGGAUUAGAUACCCUGGUAGUCCACGCCGUAAACGAUGAUUACUAGGUGUCGGGGGAUCAAGGUCCUCCGGUGCCGGCGCAAACGCAUUAAGUAAUCCACCUGGGGAGUACG